rnacentral:rRNA from 1 species
UACGAAGGGGGCUAGCGUUGUUCGGAUUUACUGGGCGUAAAGCGCACGUAGGCGGAUCUUUAAGUCAGAGGUGAAAUCCCAAGGCUCAACCUUGGAACUGCCUUUGAUACUGGGGAUCUUGAGUCCGGGAGAGGUGAGUGGAACUGCGAGUGUAGAGGUGAAAUUCGUAGAUAUUGGGAAGAACACCGGUGGCGAAGGCGGCCACCUGGUCCGGCACUGACGCUGGAGGCGCGAAAGCCGUGGGGAGCAAACAGG